GACCGACCCAGGGCUGGCGAUGCUUCCCCGCCGCCAGGCUGAGCCUGCUGCGCCCUGGCCGCCGCCGUGGGCCAGGGGGGUCGCCGGGAGAGCCGCUCGCUCGCUCGCGAAUACCGAAUCUGUUUUCCUAGCCAACGGUAUGUGUCAAAGCAGGGUAUCUGUCAUCCAGUCCCGUAGCAGGUGAAAGACUCUUUUAUUCUGGCGUUCAUACCGUAGCCUGUAACUGGGAACCGAACUGCAUCAUCCAUUCUACCAUCAGAAGCCCCAGGAACAACUCCCUGAAGUAUCCAAGGAGACUGCCGGGCUGGUCCAGGCUGUAGUAUCUGUAGAAGAACUCAGGAACAGGACAUGGGGCAGGCUUG